GCCUGGUUCACAUAUGCCUGCGGUAUGCCUGCGACUGUAUCAUUAUGCCUCUACUUGCCGCCGAAAUACCGGCAAAGUUGAACUCAAGUCAACUUUCCCGGCCUACUGCCGAUGUAACUGUGGCACUGGAGGCAAUCGGCGAACAAAUAUUCACAUAAUUUACGUUUUUAAGCUACCACCGUCAUCGUCGCCGGUACGUCGCAGGCAUAUAUGUGAACCAGGCUUAUGUACAGUAUAUAUACAGUAAGACUUUAAUAUCCUAGGUGCGAUAAUUUGGGGCGGUGGGGAAGUGGUUAGCGCACUUACAGUACCUUUCACCUCUAAGGUUGCUGGUUCAAAUCUCAGUGAGAACUUCUCAAUGCGACUCGAACCCAGUCCUCUUGUGAAAAGAGUAAAAAGUCAACGCUCUGGCGAAAGUCGUGGAUUUUCUCUGGGUACUCGUGUUUUCUCCCACAGGGAAAGUUGACAGGGUGGGUUGGGUAAAAGGGCCCACAGUAAUUGGCGUAUGCUGUUGUGGUGACCCUGCCCUAGUUGGCAAAAGCUAAAUAAAUAAAUAAUGUGUUAAUGUUGUUAUUAUUAUAUUACCGUAAUUUAGCAUGUAAUGCAUAUUAUUUAGCUCGGUAAAGAAAGGAAGCAACUCGAAGAAAAGUUGGCUGAAACUUUGACUUCAUUGCAAGAUGAAGAGGACAAGAGCAAGGGAUUGGGAAAAAUGAAAGCGAAACACGAAGCAGCGAUCACUGAUCUUGAAGACAGACUUCGUAGCGAGGAGAAGGCUCGUCAAGAAUUGGAUAAGGAGAAAAGGAAAUUACUUGCUGAGAUCGCAGAAUUACAAGAACAACUUCUUGAAGCGAAACAAAGGGUAAGCCGGGCUCACGUUUGUUCUCACUUUAGAUUUUGGAAGUGUUCCUAAAUUUUGAGAGCAUGUACGCGCCAAUUACCCAGAUAACGCUUCUGUAUGCUCGCCAACAAUAGACUAUGCGUACGGUUGUUCCACGCUUUACAACCAAAUACAAUCAAAUUCACACCGAC
rnacentral:lncRNA from 1 species